CGCGAUGUGGCGUCGCCGUGUCCGACUUUGCUUAACGGACAUCGAGGGAUGUGCUGCUCGCUGCAAGUCAUGCACCUUUUCUACUUGAAGCUUCCAUUGCAGUGUUUUGAACAUCAUUGAACCAGCACAUAGUGUAUAUAAAUAUUGGACACUGAUUGGGAACAUCACCUAAGUUCAUGCCUAUAUAUAGUAAAAAGAUGUAGCACGACCAGACAAAAUAAAAGAAGGGGGUGGGCUGUAGCAAUACUAAGUGUUAAA